CCAAUCCCAUCCACCCAUGCCUCGCCGCCGCUCCAUGCCCCUCCGCCUUGCGCCGCCCACGGCCACCCCAGUCCCCCACCGCGGCGCCAUCCUCGUCCCCCACCGCGGCGCCACUCCUCUACACCGACGCGCCGCCGCCCCUCUCCCCAGAUGCGCCGCCGCGCCGCCCCUCUCCCCCGACGCGUCGCCCCUCUCCCCGAGCUCGCCGGCCAUCCCCUCCCCCCCACUCUUUCCGAAAAGAGGCAGCCUCCCGAGCUCUGCCAUGCGCGGCUGCGCCUGCUCCACUGUCCAGGUGACACCGGUCGACGCCCCAACCGCGUGCCGCGGUAUACUGCUGCUCCUUCCCAUGAGCCACCUCGCCUUCUCCUCCGUGGAUAAGUUCGCCGACGAGCGAGGACUCCGGAUCCCGGCCGACGCCAACCUGCUGGCGUGCCACCCCCGCCCCAGCCAUCUCCUCCACCACGGUGCACCGCUGCCUAUUCUGGCCAUGGGCAAGCACAAGCGCCACCCUCAGUUUGGCAACAAAAUUCACAUCAGUUUAGGGGCGCCCGCAUCACGGUCUCACCGUGCUACCGCAAUCUCUCCUUGAUACGCCACCGGACGAGCCACUUUGGCAAGCUGUCACUUCUUGCUCCUGUGCCUGGAUCCCAUGUGAGCGCCCCUGGAAUCAGUGCAGAUGGGAGGAGAACCGUCCAAAGUGCGAGUUUUGUGACGUCGACGUGCGAGCCAGUCUAACCAGCGCAUCUGAACCAACAUAUGCAGAGUGAUUCGCCCAAAGCAGCCAGGGGUAUACACGGUUGUUGGGAGCCGUCCAAGUCGAGCUCUGACCGCAGUCCAAGUGGGACUGCGACCACCAUCUAAUCAAAAUUGCUACUGUGUUUCUAAUUGAACCGCCGCCCCGAGAAUCCCCGCUGAGCUCGUCCGCAGCCCCGGCCCUCUUCGGGGCCACCGAGGUCUACAUCGCAGGGCCGCCGUGUUCUCUUUACCGCCAUCCAGGUCCGACGAGCCGCCGCACGCAGGAUCCCAUGCGUGCUAGCCUUGGUGCUGGCCCUGCGCGAUGGCAUGGCAUCAUUCACUGCCGCCACCAUGGGUCGUUCAAUGACACAGCGUCGAGUCGUUCGACGCCGCAGCUCAGGAGUUUGCCUCCUUUCCCAACCUCCACUAUGCUAGUCUCUCCUGUUCUCCUCUCUUCACUAACCUCUCUCGCUUCUUUCGCUUGAAUUCCUGCUAAUGUUGGCUGUAGCUUGAAUUCCACCAGGGGUGCUGGCAGCCGUCCAAGUGGAGCGUUGACGCCAGUACAAGUAGAAUCGUGGGUUGCGGCCACCAUCUUCACUAAGCACCGCACAUCCGUCCAAGUCGAGCACACACACAGGGAGAACACACCAGCCCCUUUGCUUUGCACAUUGCUUGGUUAUGCAUGACUGCUGAUGGAUGCAACAAGCGUUUAUAUUAGUUUGAUCUUGUGCAAGACUCAAUUUUGUCUCGGUUUUCGUGGAUGCUAGCUGGCAAUACGUCCAACAUUCUUGCGGCGAUAGCAGCCACCACUAAGGGCAUUUGCGUCCAGCACUCGAGCUACAUGCUCGACGGUUGCACACUGCCGCCAUGGACAUGCACAAAGAUAUUAACGACGCGUUUGGUUUGCGCUCAGGUAACGUAUUCGACUUGGGUAUCGGGAAGCUCCGUCUUCAGACUAUUUUUACCGAAUACGAGAUAUGUUUGUUUCGAGCGUUCGGCUCCCGGUUUUCUAAUCACCUUCGGUCCCGCCGUUUUCCGCUUCGCGAGCGCAUGUAUCGGAGGACGCCGCUACCUAAUACAUCGUGGGCCUACCAAACGCUGGAUUCUGUUUCAGAAAGCGCUGUAAUCGGAAGUCGUGACAUUUCCGUCGAACCAAACGCGUCGUAAGUAGAUGUUUGUUAGUUCAGUUUUUUAUCGAUUUACCUUGUUUAAGUAGUAGUGCAGCAAUAAAAGGUGUCGUUGUACUGAAGUUUUAGUUGCUAUAUGAGGAACCCAUAGGCCAUUUAUUUUGGUUUUCAGUUCAGCUUGUCUGUUGUUUUCGGUCCGGAUGCUUUAUUGCGCAUAAUCUUGAGGAAAUCCCCAAAAGUCAUAUGUCUCAUGUGAAUCUUGUUCAGUUCAUUAGUUCAUUGGAAAAAUAUAUCAUCUACAAGAAGAAUUGCAAUCUGGUAAUGUGAAGUAUGUUGUAGUCUAUACCUGUAGAGUGCAUUUUUGUAGUGCUGGUAUUCGUGGUCACUCUUUUGUGUUAGAAACAAUGGAUAUAUAUUUAUAUUUUGUAGUGUCAGUACUUGAGAACAAAAGGUUCAGUUUUCAAACUUUAAACAGUUCAUCGCAAGCUUUCGGUGUAGCAAGACGCGCGCCAAUGUGUGUGUGCACUUGAUGAAACUCUAUUGCAGUAUAUGAAGUUCAUACGAUUUUCAUGCAUCAACAAUCUGAUAGAGAGCACCAUUCUUUUCUGAAUUUUGUAUUUAAGAAAUAUCACCCUUUCUAUAUUUUUGAACACUAGCUAGUGCUUUCUUUUCUUGUUAUAGUCAAAAAGUAGUACAGGUAUCUAGUUAUGGUGAUAGUGAUACUAACCAGACCAAGCUACUUCAAUUGUUUUACCAAAUUCUAGAAAUUCUCCAUAUACGGCAAGAGCCAACCGGACAUCUUUGUCUAGCCUGACUUGGGACGGCUUCUUUGCAACUGCAGGUUAGAAAAUUCAACAUGUGAUUGGAAUUCAGUGUGAAAAACUGCAGGUGCAAGAUGGCGGCUGCCGACGUCGCUAAAUCCCUCUACAAACUAGUGGUUGGCUGUUCCCAGCGGUAAAUGUGAUCGGAUUCAGCAGCUAGCUCUUCCUCGAGCAACCAUUUGGAGAACUUCAUUGUCUUGUGGUGGUGAUUGAUUUUAGGAUCAGUAAAUUUGACGUUGGUAGCUAGAUGAAACCUGCAAGUUCAAUAUUGGUAUUAGAUUCAGUUCUUGUUGUACAAAUGUCCCAAUGUUCACCUUUAUUUGGGUAAAAGUUUAUUUUAGUUCAGCAACAGAAACCAUGCAGGUUCAAUGAUGAUGAUACCAUAAGUUCGGACAAGAAAAUUUAUGUAUAUGAUGAGAUGAUUGCUACUUCUUCAAA